UACGGCUCGCUGCCUGGAGUUGGCGCGAGCCCGAAACGUUCAGGCGCGACAGGAUGUGGCUGCGGCCGAUUAGGUAGACGGUGGGGUAACGGCCCACCGUGCCGAUAAUCGGUACGGGUUGUGAAAGCAAGAGCCCGGAGACGGAAUCUGAGACAAGAUUCCGGGCCCUACGGGGCGCAGCAGGCGCGAAACCUUUACACUGCACGCGAGUGCGAUAGGGGGACUCCAAGUGCGAGGGCAUACAGUCCUCGCUUUUCACCACCGUAAGGAGGUGGUAGAAUAAGUGCUGGGCAAGACCUGUGCCAGCCGCCGCGGUAAUACCGGCAGCACGAGUGAUGACCGCUAUUAUUGGGCCUAAAGCGUCCGUAGCCGGCCGGGCAAGUCCAUCGGGAAAUCCGCACGCCUAACGUGCGGGCGUCCGGUGGAAACUGUUCGGCUUGGGACCGGAAGAUCCAGAGGGUACGUCUGGGGUAGGAGUGAAAUCCUGUAAUCCUGGACGGACCACCGGUGGCGAAAGCGCUCUGGAAAGACGGAUCCGACGGUGAGGGACGAAAGCUUGGGUCACGAACCGGAUUAGAUACCCGGGUAGUCCAAGCUGUAAACGAUGUCUGCUAGGUGUGGCACAGGCUACGAGCCUGUGCUGUGCCGUAGGGAAGCCGUGAAGCAGACCGCCUGGGAAGUACGUCUGCAAGGAUGAAACUUAAAGGAAUUGGCGGGGGAGCACUACAACCGGAGGAGCCUGCGGUUUAAUUGGACUCAACGCCGGACAUCUCACCAGCAUCGACAGUAGCUGUGACGGUCAGUGUGAUGAGCUUACUAGAGCUACUGAGAGGAGGUGCAUGGCCGCCGUCAGCUCGUACCGUGAGGCGUCCUGUUAAGUCAGGCAACGAGCGAGACCCGCACGCCUAAUUGCCAGCAACACCCUUGAGGUGGUUGGGUACAUUAGGCGGACUGCCAGUGCCAAACUGGAGGAAGGAACGGGCAACGGUAGGUCAGUAUGCCCCGAAUGUGCUGGGCGACACGCGGGCUACAAUGGUCGAGACAGUGGGAUGCCACCCCGAGAGGGGGCGCUAAUCUCCGAAACUCGAUCGUAGUUCGGAUUGCGGACUGAAACUCGUCCGCAUGAAGCUGGAUUCGGUAGUAAUCGCGCUUCAGAAGAGCGCGGUGAAUACGUCCCUG
rnacentral:rRNA from 1 species